AUCUCUUCUCGGCCGUUUGGCUAAGAUCCAGUGUAGGUGCUUUGCCCCAGAAAUGGGAAAGAUGAUCCAUACUCAUGCUACAUAUAUAUAUAUAUAUAUAUAUAUAUAUAUAUAUAUAUAUAUAGGGUUUUUUUCAGUAUAUUACAUGGAUAUAUAUAUAUU
rnacentral:snRNA from 1 species